UUAUGAUCCAUUUUUGGCUUGUCACUGUUGAAUCCCUCUCUUUUAGGGCGAUGUUGAAUCUCAUGGAAACACAUGGACAUUUGGUGGAGGUGGACAAACUGCUGGCCAGAUCUUGGAUGUAUCUGAUGACUGUAGAUGAGUUGGUCAAGUGCAGCUCCAUCAUCCAUGCAGAACUCUUGGACAUCCUGCAGCUUUUCACCAUGAAAUGUCCCGAUGAUAUAUGCUACAGCACUUCCACCAGUGUAGCGGAUACUCUGGCAUACAUUCAAAGUAACUUGCUCGAACAACGAUACAGUUGUCCCAGUGAGGAUUAUGGCAUUCAGUGUGUACAAGCAACAUGUAAACUUCUAGAGAAGAUCUGCAAAAGAAUUCAUUACUACAGUCAUGCACAAAAUUUCACUGAUAUUCCUGUUGCUUGCAUGAACCUAGUGGCCUCCGUGUCAGGAUUUGCCCAGGUAUUCCAUUCUGCAAUUUUUGUUUUAAAUAGCUCAUUAAAGCCAGUAGAAUUGACUCCAUAUGUCUAAAUAUUUGUUCAACCUUAAGGCGAGACAACAAGCUGACACUUUUCCUGAGAAGACUCUUGUGUUACUCAAUGAGGCCAAGAAAUCUGUGAGGACAUGGAUCAGACAAACUUUCAAAGGCAGACUUUUAGACAGUAGCUAUAUGUCGGCUGUCAGCUUCACAAAAGAGAUUGAGGUAAACAGAACAAGUACAGUUGAGGUCAUAAGUUUAUAUAUGCAGUACUAAAUAAAAUA
rnacentral:lncRNA from 1 species